GGUGCCCGUACCGCAAACCGACACAGGUAGGUAGGAAGAAGAUUCUAAGGCCAACGGGAGAAGGGUUGUUAAGGAACUCGGCAAAUUGACCCCGUAACUUCGGGAGAAGGGGUGCUCCAGAGAUGGAGCCGCAGAGAAUCGGCCCAAGCAACUGUUUACCAAAAACACAGGUUUGUGCUAAAUCGAAAGAUGACGUAUACGAGCUGACGCCUGCCCGGUGCUGGAAGGUUAAGAGGAGAUGUGCAAGCAUUGAAUCGAAGCCCCAGUGAACGGCGGCCGUAACUAUAACGGUCCUAAGGUAGCGAAAUUCCUUGUCAGGUAAGUUCUGACCCGCAUGAAAGGCGUAAUGAUUUGGGCACUGUCUCAACAGCCCGCCCGGCGAAAUUGUAGUACCGGUGAAGAUGCCGGUUACCCGCGACAAGACGGAAAGACCCCAUGGAGCUUUACUGUAGCCUAAUAUUGGGUUUCGAUGUUGCAUGCACAGGAUAGAUGGGACACAGGGAAACAAGUGCUUUGGCAUUUGUGGAGUGGCCGUUGGGAUACCAUCCUUGCGAUAUUGGAAUUCUAACCUGCGCCUUUGAAUCAAGGCGGGGGACAUUGUUAGGUGGGCAGUUUGACUGGGGCGGUCGCCUCCUAAAGAGUAACGGAGGCGUUCAAAGGUUCGCUCAGCUUGAACGGAAAUCAAGCAAAAGAGUGCAAACGCAGAAGCGAGCCUAACUGCGAGACUGACGGGUCGAGCAGUAACGAAAGUUGGAGUUAGUGAUCCGGUGGUAUGUGAGUGGAAAUGCCAUCGCUCAACGGAUAAAAGUUACCCUGGGGAUAACAGGCUGAUCUCCCCCAAGAGUCCACAUCGACGGGGAGGUUUGGCACCUCGAUGUCGGCUCAUCGCAUCCUGGGGCUGUAUUCGGUCCCAAGGGUUUGGCUGUUCGCCAAUUAAAGCGGUACGCGAGCUGGGUUCAGAACGUCGUGAGACAGUUCGGUCCCUAUCUGUCGUGGGCGCAGGAUAUUUGAUGGGAGCUGUUCCUAGUACGAGAGGACCGGAGCGGACGUACCUCUGGCGCACCAGUUGUUCUGCCAAGGGCAUAGCUGGGCAACUAUGUACGGAUCGGAUAAACGCUGAAAGCAUCUAAGCGUGAAGCCGACCCAAAGAUAAGAUAUCCCAUUGUUUCAAACAAGUAAGACCCCUUGAAGACUACAAGGUUGAUAGGCACGAUGUGUAAGUGGAGUGAUCCAUUCAGCAAGCGUGUACUAAUAGGUCGAGGGCUUGACCAC
rnacentral:rRNA from 1 species